GGGACUGGAGUCGUAGUCGUCGUCGUCGUUGGUUAUUAGCUGAGUGAUAAUUUCCAGAGCGUUCAGUUGUCUCGAACACCAACAGGUGUUAAAAACGUGUUUGAAAACGUACAGCGGUUUGCGAAAGACUAAGCGGUAAAUACUUAUACCAGAAGAAAUAAAUAGAUAUCUACAAAUAUACUCUGCUCAGCUCAAAAAACGAACUACUUAAACACAGAUAAAGUGAAGAUUUUGUUUAACCAAAUUGGGACUCAUUUGGAGUUUUGUGUAUUUUCUAAUUUUUUAGUGACGGAAAAAAGAAAAUAUAAUUUACAGCACUCCUAUAUUUGUGGAUUACAAAUUCAAAUAAAUAAAAGAGGAUAAAAAUACUAAACGCAAGAGCAGCAACAGCAGAAACAUUUCAAGGUGAGUUACGAUUCUUAGAAAUAUCAAGAAUUAAUUGAACAUAAGUAUACCUACAUAUACUAUAUUUUGGUGAUAUAAUUGAGUUAAAACUCGACGAACGAGUACCUACCUACGUGCAUUUUUCAGU